GAUGCAGCGACGCCGCGUGGGGGAUGAAGGCCUUCGGGUUGUAAACUCCUUUCGCUAGGGACGAAGCUUUUGUGACGGUACCUAGAUAAGAAGCACCGGCUAACUACGUGCCAGCAGCCGCGGUAAUACGUAGGGUGCGAGCKUUGUCCGGAAUUACUGGGCGUAAAGGGCUCGUAGGUGGUUUGUCGCGUCGUCUGUNAAAUUCUGGGGCUUAACUCCGGGCGUGCAGGCGAUACGGGCAUAACUUGAGUGCUGUAGGGGUAACUGGAAUUCCUGGUGUAGCGGUGAAAUGCGCAGAUAUCAGGAGGAACACCGAUGGCGAAGGCAGGUUACUGGGCAGUUACUGACGCUGAGGAGCGAAAGCAUGGGUAGCGAACAGGAUUAGAUACCCUGGUAGUCCAUGCUGUAAACGGUGGGCGCUAGGUGUGAGGGUUUUUCUACGAUUCUCGUGCCGUAGCUAACGCAUUAAGCGCCCCGCCUGGGGAGUACGGCCGCAAGCGUA
rnacentral:rRNA from 1 species